GACGAACCGUGCGAACGUUAUUCGGAAUCACUGGGCUUAAAGCGCGUGUAGGCGGGAUGGCACGUCGGUCGCUGAAAGCCCCCCGGCUCAACCGGGGAAGGGGCGCCGAUACGACCGUCCUGGAGGGACGUAGGGGGACCUGGAACUUCCGGUGGAGCGGUGAAAUGCGUUGAGAUCGGAAGGAACGCCCGUGGCGAAAGCGAGGUCCUGGACGUCUGCUGACGCUGAGACGCGAAAGCCAGGGGAGCGAACGGG
rnacentral:rRNA from 1 species